GACGAACGCUGGCGGCGUGCCUAAUACAUGCAAGUCGAACGAGAGCGCCCGGUGCUUGCGCUGUUCAAUCUAGUGGCGCACGGGUGAGUAACACGUGUGUAACCUGCCCAUCAGAGGGGUAUAACAUCCGGAAACGGAUGCUAAAACCGCAUAGGCCUUCGAUCCGCGUGGCUGGAAGAGGAAAAGAGGCGGAAGGUUCUGCUCUCGCGUGUACUCGCGGUGCAUUAGCUAGUUGGUGAGGUAACGGCUCACCAAGGCCGGGAUGCAUAGACGACGGGAGGGGGGGAUAGGCGACAUGGGGAGUGAGACAGGGACAAAAGGCCUGCGGGAGGGCGCAGACGGGAAUCGUCCGCAAUGGUGGGAAGUCUGACGGAGUAAGGGGGAGUGAGUGAAGAAGGUUUUCGGAUCGUAAUACUCUGUUGUUAGUGAAGAACAAGUGCUAGAGUAACUGUUAGCGGAUUGACGGUAACUAACAAGAAAGCAACGGCUAACUACGUG
rnacentral:rRNA from 1 species